rnacentral:rRNA from 1 species
AUUGAACGCUGGCGGCAGGCAUAACACAUGCAAGUCGAACGAGUGGCGGACGGGUGAGUAAUGUAUGGGAAACUGCCUGAUGGAGGGGGAUAACUACUGGAAACGGUAGCUAAUAACGCAUAACAUCGGAGGUGCCCAGAUGGGAUUAGCUAGUAGGUGGGGUAAAGGCUCACCUAGGCGACGAUCCCUAGCUGGUCUGAGAGGAGGACCAGCCACACUGGGACUGAGACACGGUCCAGACGCCUACGUGAGGCAGCAGUGGGGAAUAUUGCACAAUGGGCGCAAUCCUGAUGCAGCCAUGCCGCGUGUAUGAAGAAGGCCUUCGGGUUGUAAAGUACUUUCAGCGGUGAGUCGUUACCCGCAGCAGAAGCACCGGCUAACUCCGUGCCAGCAGCCGCGGUAAUUC